GUGCUCGCUUCAGCAGCACAUAUACUAAAAUUGGAAUGAUACAUUGAAGAUUAGCAUGGUCCUUGCUCAAGGAUAACACAAAUUCAUGCAGCGUUCUGUAUUUUU